rnacentral:rRNA from 1 species
UACAGAGGGUGCAAGCGUUGUUCGGAAUUAUUGGGCGUAAAGCGCGUGUAGGCGGCUUUGCAAGUCGGGUGUGAAAGCCCUCAGCUCAACUGAGGAAGUGCGCCCGAAACUGCAGAGCUUGAGUGCCGGAGAGGGUGGCGGAAUUCCCCAAGUAGAGGUGAAAUUCGUAGAUAUUGGGAGGAACACCAGUGGCGAAGGCGGCUCACUGGACCGGUACUGACGCUGAUGCGCGAAAGCGUGGGGAGCAAACAGG